GAGCUCUGGCUUUGGCAGCACAUAUACCUAAAUUGGAACGAUACAGAGAAGCUUAGCAUGGCCCCUGCGCAAGGAUGCACGGAAAUGGCAAAAGAAACAUUGUAGAUGU